UACAGAGGGGGCAAGCGUUGUUCGGAAUUACUGGGCGUAAAGGGCGCGUAGGCGGCCCGCUAAGUCGAACGUGAAAUCCCCGAGCUCAACUCGGGAACUGCGUCCGAUACUGGUGGGCUUGAAUCCGGGAGAGGGAUGCGGAUUCCAGGUGUAGCGGUGAAAUGCGUAGAUAUCUGGAGGAACACCGGUGGCGAAGGCGGCAUCCUGGACCGGCAUUGACGCUGAGGCGCGAAAGCUAGGGGAGCAAACGGGG
rnacentral:rRNA from 1 species